rnacentral:tmRNA from 1 species
UCUCUUCAAAUUUUUAUUAAUCGAAUGUAUAAAGGAAGUUCUGGUUUACCAGAUAUAGUGAUAAACGGUUGAUGUAAUAAACUAUUCGGACCCGGGGGCGGUACCCGGCACCUCCACCAUUUAAAUAAUUUAUGGGGGUGAAAUAGGAUCGACGAGAGCGUAAAGAUCUUCUUUUUACUCGGCAUUGUUCCGCCGUUAUCGGGCUAUUAUAUAGAAGCAAAACGCGACUAUGCAGAGUACGCUCUCGCAGCUUAAUGUGUGAGUAACUCAAAUUAACUCCUAAUUAUUUGCAUAAUUAGGCGGGGUUUGAGGGGCACCUGGCAACAGAAGCUCCUUGUU